UUUCCGUAGGUGAACCUGCGGAAGGAUCAUUACCGAAUUGUCGACACGAGUUGUUGCUGGCCCCUCAAAAGGGGGCAUGUGCACGCUCUGUUUGCAUCCACUCACACCUGUGCACCUUCUGUAGUUCUGUGGGCUGGGAGGCACCUGUCUUCCCUUCCGUGGUUCUACGUCUUUACACACACACUGUAACAUAGUCUUAUGGAAUGCACGCAGCGUUUAACGCAAUACAAUACAACUUUCAGCAACGGAUCUCUUGGCUCUCGCAUCGAUGAAGAACGCAGC
rnacentral:misc_RNA from 1 species